rnacentral:rRNA from 1 species
UACGUAGGUGACCAGCGUUGUCCGGAUUUACUGGGCGUAAAGAGCGCGCAGGCGGUCGUUCAAGUCGAGUGUGAAAGCCCCCGGCUCAACUGGGGAGGGUCACUCGAUACUGAUCGACUUGAAGGCAGGAGAGGGAAGCGGAAUUCCCGGUGUAGUGGUGAAAUGCGUAGAUAUCGGGAGGAAACACCAGUGGCGAAGGCGGCUUCCUGGC